rnacentral:lncRNA from 1 species
GAAGGGUGUGGACCUUGACAGAUGUGCAUCGAUCAUGUCUCAGAUCUCACGAGGAGUGUAGUAUCACUUGGACACUUGGAGGAAAAGGACUUCAUUUUCAGAAAUGACUCAGGGGUGCUGAAUGUCUCAAGAACGACAGGAUUGUGAUGAGGGGGAGGAGGUUGAGGAGUUGUCUAUAUCAAAUGGUUGGAUCUAUUGUGUCUGAGGAGACCAAGGUGAUUACUUUAGCAAUAAAGGGUUAGCCGGAGGUUCAGUC